GGGAGAGAGGAGUCACAGAAAAACAAGGCAAUAAGACAAGGGCUCUGGAUAGCACCUGCAGAGGCACCCAAGACGACGGUGCUGGGUAUCCAGGGAGUGACUAUAGAGGGAGGAAGGAGGCUGGGACCUGGGCCAGGGAGCCCAGGACCACAUCCAACUGCAUCAUGUAUGCACAAGAGACCAGAGCAUGGCAGACACGUUGGCAGGAGACUGAAUACAGGGAACUCAGCAACCCAAGUAGUGGACCCUGUGAGGCCAGUAGUCCACCAGAGGCAGGAAGUGAGCCAGGCCCUUUUCUACAGAGGGCAGCAGGAAGAAUCAUGUGGCUGGCAGGGGGAGGAGGCACCAAGAGGAGCACAGGGAAGAAAGGGAUGGCCACCAGGAGCGGAAUACCAUGAGCACCCUGGACUCCAGUCCGGAGGCCAAGCCUGACCAGACUGCAGAAGGCAGACCUGUGAGCGGCACUAGGCUCAGCAGCCACAGAAAGAGUGGGGGGCCAGAAAGCAGUUGCAGAAACACAAGCAUAAAAUACAAGGCACUCGCCAGCA
rnacentral:lncRNA from 1 species